rnacentral:rRNA from 1 species
UGCCAGCAGCCGCGGUAAUACGAACCGUACGAACGUUAUUCGGAAUCACUGGGCUUAAAGAGUGCGUAGGCGGCCUGGCAAGUUGGGUGUGAAAGCCCUCGGCUCAACCGAGGAAUAGCGCCCAAAACUGCCAGACUUGAGGGAGGUAGAGGUAAGCGGAACUAAUGGUGGAGCGGUGAAAUGCGUUGAUAUCAUUAGGAACACCUGAGGCGAAAGCAGCUUACUGGGCCUCUUCUGACGCUGAGGCACGAAAGCUAGGGGAGCGAACGGGAUUAGAUA